UAAACAUAACUCUGUAUCUUUGCUAAAGUC
rnacentral:piRNA from 1 species